rnacentral:tRNA from 1 species
GCCGCCAUAGCUCCAGUGGUAGAGCGGUUGCCUUGUAAGCGAACGGCCCUGGGUUCGAAUCCUCGUGGCGGCACCA